GUGCUCGCUUCGGCAGCACAUAUACUAAACAAUUGGAACAAUACAGAGACGAUUAGCAUGGCCCCUGCGCAAGGAUGACACACAUAUUCCUGAAGCGUUUCAUAUAACA
ensembl:snRNA U6 U6 spliceosomal RNA